rnacentral:rRNA from 1 species
UACGUAGGGCGCAAGCGUUAUCCGGAAUUAUUGGGCGUAAAGAGCUCGUAGGCGGUUUGUCGCGUCUGCCGUGAAAGUCCGGGGCUCAACUCCGGAUCUGCGGUGGGUACGGGCAGACUAGAGUGAUGUAGGGGAGACUGGAAUUCCUGGUGUAGCGGUGAAAUGCGCAGAUAUCAGGAGGAACACCGAUGGCGAAGGCAGGUCUCUGGGGCAUUAAACUGACGCUGAGGGCGCGAAAAGCGUGGGGGAGCAAA